rnacentral:rRNA from 1 species
UACGGGGGGGGUAAGCGUUGUUCGGAAUUACUGGGCGUAAAGGGCUCGUAGGCGGCCAACUAAGUCAUACGUGAAAUCCCUCAGCUUAACUGGGGAACUGGGUGUGAUACUGGAUGGCUUGGAUUUGGGAGAGGGAUGCGGAAUUCCAGGUGUAGCGGUGAAAUGCGUAGAUAUCUGGAGGAACACCGGUGGCGAAGGCGGCAUCCUGGACCAAUAUUGACGCUGAGGAGCGAAAGCCAGGGGAGCAAACGGG